rnacentral:rRNA from 1 species
CAAAAAGACAGUCUCAGUUCAGAUUGUAGGCUGAAACUCGCCUAUAUGAAGUCGGAAUUGCUAGUAAUCGCAGAUCAGCAUGCUGCGGUGAAUACGUUCCCGGGCCUUGUACACACCGCCCGUCACACCAUGAGAGUCGAUAACACCCGAAGCCUGUAGUCCAACCUCGUGAGGACGCUGCCGAAGGUAGGAUUGGCGACUGGGGUGAAGUCGUAACAAGGUAUC